GUGCUUGCUUCUGCAGCGCUUAUACAGUUAAAUUGGAAUGAUACAUUGAAGAUUAGAAUGGCCCCUAUGCAAGGAUGACAAGCAAAUUUGUGCAGCAUUCCACUGAAAA